UACGUAGGGUGCAAGCGUUGUCCGGAAUUAUUGGGCGUAAAGAGCUCGUAGGCGGCUUUGUCGCGUCGGCUGUGAAAACCCGGGGCUCAACCCCGGGCCUGCAUUCGAUACGGGCAGACUAGAGUUCGGUAGGGGAGUCUGGAAUUCCUGGUGUAGCGGUGAAAUGCGCAGAUAUCAGGAGGAACACCGGUGGCGAAGGCGGGACUCUGGGCCGAUACUGACGCUGAGGAGCGAAAGCGUGGGGAGCAAACAGG
rnacentral:rRNA from 1 species